rnacentral:lncRNA from 1 species
AUUCUCCUGCCUCAGCCUCCCAAGUAGCUGGAAUUACAGGUCCACUUUUGGAAACUCCCAUCAUGCCUCCUGCCUAUGGAUCAUCUCUUUGGCUGAGAACCGAGCUAACUCACUCAAGAUCCCAAUUAGUGACUCCUCAUGAGAUGGAAGUAAUUCUCCGGCAUCGUCCUCAUUUGAUUUCAGAAAAUCCAGCAGUUCUGGACUUCACAGUUGCACCACACGGUAUUGGGCUGUGGUCUGCUUCCUGGCAACCAAAGGGCAGGACAUAGGUAGCUGAUAAGGAAGGAGUGAAGGAUGUCUGCGUGGGGGCAAAUUUCAUGCAAAAUUCAUUACUGAAUAUUUCUGUAAUAUGACAAUUUCUGCUUUCCUAGCCAACCAUACAACUGCAGAGAUCCACAGAGCUACCGUUUGAGGAAUAAGGAACCCUGUACAUAGCCAGGGGCAUUCUAAAAUCCCCAAACUUGAAUCCUACUUCCGACUUUGCUAGGACACCGCAGGAAUUACCAUCAAAGAAGGAAAAAGAUGCACAGAAGUUUCCCAUUCGACAGCUACGAUUCUACAACCCCAUAGUCUUUCUAAACCACAGGCUGCAUUUUC